AGCAUAUACUUGACUUAUGUUACGGCCAUAAGAUUGGUAAUUGUAUACCGUAUGUUU
rnacentral:tRNA from 1 species